AUGACUCAGCAAUUGAUCGCUUAGCUCAUGGGCAGAUGAAGAACACAGCUAGCUGUGAGAUUAAUGUGAAUUACAGGACACAUUGAUCAUCAACACUUCAAACACACUUGCAGCCCUAAGUUUUUUUAGAGCUAUGCCAAAACAAAACAAA
ensembl:rRNA 5_8S_rRNA 5.8S ribosomal RNA